UCCCUGGAGGACUAGUGGUUAGGCCAUGGUGCUCUCACCGCCACAGCCCGGGUUCAACUCCCGGCCAGGGAA
rnacentral:tRNA from 1 species